rnacentral:rRNA from 1 species
GACGAACGCUGGCGGCGUGCUUAACACAUGCAAGUCGUACGGUAAGGCCCUUUCGUGGGUACUAUAGUGGCUGACGGGGGGGUAACACGUGAGUAACUUGCCCACCACUUCGGGAUAACUCUAGGAAACUGGCGCCAAUUCUGGAUAUGUACUCCUGCUGCUUGGUGGGGGGUGGAAAGCUCCGUCGGUUGUGGUUGGACUCGCGGCCUUUCUGCUUGUUGGUGGGGUAGUGGCCUACCAACGCCGGGGCGGGUAGCCGGCCCGGGAGGGUGACCGGCCACAUUGGGACUGCGGUCUGGCCCAGACUCCCACGGGCGGGAGCAGUGGGGAAAUUUGGACAAUGGGCGCAAGCCUGAUGCAGCAACGCCGCGUGCGGGAUGACGGCCUUCGGGUUGGAAACCGGGUUCAGCAGGGGCCAAGCCUUUUGUGACGGUAACUGCUAAAGAAGCACCGGCUAACUACGUG